rnacentral:rRNA from 1 species
AUUGAACGCUGGCGGCAUGCUUUGCACAUGCAAGUCGAACGGUAACAGGCCGCAAGGUGCUGACGAGUGGCGAACGGGUGAGUAAUGCAUCGGAACGUGCCCAGUCGUGGGGGAUAACGCAGCGAAAGCUGCGCUAAUACCGCAUACGUUCUAUGGAUGAAAGCGGGGGACCGGAAGGCCUCGCGCGAUUGGAGCGGCCGAUGUCCGAUUAGGUAGUUGGUGGGGUAAAGGCUCACCAAGCCAACGAUCUGUAGCUGGUCUGAGAGGACGACCAGCCACACUGGGACUGAGACACGGCCCAGACUCCUACGGGAGGCAGCAGUGGGGAAUUUUGGACAAUGGGCGCAAGCCUGAUCCAGCAAUGCCGCGUGCAGGAAGAAGGCUUUCGGGUUGUAAACUGCUUUUGUACGGAACGAAACGGCUCUGGUUAAUACCUGGGGCUAAUGACGGUACCGUAAGAAUAAGCACCGGCUAACUACGUGCCAGCAGCCGCCGUAAGAC